AACGAACGCUGGCGGCAGGCUUAACACAUGCAAGUCGAACGCCCCGCAAGGGGAGUGGCAGACGGGUGAGUAACGCGUGGGAAUCUACCCAGUCCUUCGGAACAACACAGGGAAACUUGUGCUAAUACCGGAUACGCCUACGGGGAAAGAUUAUCGGAUUGGAUGAGCCCGCGUUGGAUUAGCUAGUUGGUGAGGUAAAAGCUCACCAAGGCGACGAUCCAUAGCUGGUCUGAGAGGAUGAUCAGCCACACUGGGACUGAGACACGGCCCAGACUCCUACGGGAGGCAGCAGUGGGGAAUAUUGGACAAUGGGCGCAAGCCUGAUCCAGCCAUGCCGCGUGAGUGAUGAAGGCCUUAGGGUUGUAAAGCUCUUUCAGUGGGGACGGAUAAUGACGGUACCCGACAGAAGAAGCCCCGGCUAACUUACGUGCCAGCAGCCGCGGUAAU
rnacentral:rRNA from 1 species